AACGCGAAGAACCUUACCUACCCUUGACAUGUCUGGAACCUUGCUGAGAGGCGAGGGUGCCUUCGGGAGCCAGAACACAGGUGCUGCAUGGCUGUCGUCAGCUCGUGUCGUGAGAUGUUGGGUUAAGUCCCGCAACGAGCGCAACCCUUUUCCUUAUUUGCCAGCACUUCGGGUGGGAACUUUAAGGAUACUGCCAGUGACAAACUGGAGGAAGGCGGGGACGACGUCAAGUCAUCAUGGCCCUUACGACCAGGGCUACACACGUGCUACAAUGGUCGGUACAAAGGGUUGCUACCUAGCGAUAGGAUGCUAAUCUCAAAAAGCCGAUCGUAGUCCGGAUUGGAGUCUGCAACUCGACUCCAUGAAGUCGGAGUCGCUAGUAAUCGCGGAUCAGAAUGCCGCGGUGAAUACGUUCCCGGGCCUUGUACACACCGCCCGUAAUCAC
rnacentral:rRNA from 2 species